rnacentral:lncRNA from 1 species
CAUUUGCAAGCAGGAAGUGUCAUCGUGGUUAUUUGUGUUUUCAAUCAAAUACAUGCAAGAUGAAAUGUGGGAUAUGCUGGGAUUAACUGCCUAUUAACUGGUUUUAAUUGCUGUUAACUAGCCAUUAACUGCCAUGGGUACCAAAAUUUAUGACCAUAAUACUGACAGUUGUUUCUGAGAAUGUAGUCCAUCAUGGAGUUCAAGUGAGAUAGUGUCAUAUUGGCUCUUCCUUAUCCAAUUCAUUUUUGCUCUCAGAUACUCAUUUACUGCUCUGGGAGAAAAUCUGGGGUUCUUAUUAUUUUGAUAGUGAGGUGAGAUUUGUUUGCUUAAAUGACAAUAAUAUGAGUAUCUCAAAAUAAAUAAAUAUAUAUAUAUAUUUGGCUCUGUACAUCUUCACUGGCAGUAAUAAAGCAUCAGAAACCAAACUUCGGCUGGCAAUUUUGAUGAUGCUGCAAGAAGAAGACAUAACUUGCUGUUCAGCUAUAUUGGUUCUGCAGUACUGAAAGCAGUAAAGAUUUGAUUGUGUCAGUAAAGUGAGCUGAUAGAUCUUAGAAGAUACAUAUGGGCAAAUUUUCAAAGUAAUACAGAGCCAGAGCCACAAGAAUCAGUACUAACGGGAAGUGAAAGACGGUACUGAAAACUUCAGCCACAGAGAGCAGAUCUGUGCGGCAGUGUGGUGACAGCUUGAAAUCACCCAUAUCACCACAAUUUAAGAAGGUGCUUUUCUUGGAAUGAUUUUUUGUAAGAGUAGCGUAGGUAGAUUGCUGUGAGCAGGAUGUGCAGAGGUGGCUGCUGUGGCACUGCUGCCCUUCCCGUGCCUGCAAGGGAGCAAAUCUCCCUCCCUGGGGCAGCAAGCAAAGGGCUCAGCAUCAGAAAAACUGCUGGAGGUGGCUGAAUUUGGAGCUAUGCACUGGAACAGACAGGGAGCCUCAUGUGUUGCCUGGUCUGAGUGGCCCAAUGUGACUCCACAUGCACUGCCUGUUUGCCUCCACCUAAUGAAGAAAGUUUCUAGUUGAGCUGCAUCAUCAGCCACCUCCUCCUGGACAUUAUAUAUACACUUUAUAUUCUGCAUGAGAAGCAGAGUAUUAAUAAUUCCUUGUUUCAUAUAUUAAAAUAUUUAUUCUUCAUGUUCUUUCUACCCUCUCUUUCUUAGAUAUGGCAGUGAGUGAUGAAAAGAUAUGUCCUACAUUAAGAACUUUUCCAAGAAAUCCAGAAAUCUAC